AGAUAAUAGCCUUUUUGUCAACCAGAUUGACAAAGAUUAUAAAGAUUGAAAAUAUUAAGGUCUGAGCUAGUAAUACCAGGAUCUCAAACGCAAAAGCAAGGGAUGCUAGCUCAGUCGACAUCUGAUUUAUUUUUCUUUCUUUCUUUCUUUCUUUUUUUUUUACUGCAAAUAUACAGAUAGUACCUUUGACCCAGCAACUGAACUUCAAAGAAUUUAUUUUAAAGAAUUAAAUCUAAUCAGAUAAGUAUACAAAACUACAAAUUUAAAUAUAUUUACUAAAGCAUUAUUGGCAAGUGUGUAAGAUUAGAAAUAACUGAAAUGUUCAAUAAGCAUUUUAAUGAAAUACAGCUCAGCCGUCUAAAUGAUGUUAGAGAGCAGUGAUUCUAAGGAGAGUGCCCCCUCCUUAAAAACCACUCUUGUUCAACGCCUGGUACUCCUGAGAGGGUGUCAGCUUUCGCAGGGAUGUUAGGUCAGGAAAAAAGUUGAAAGUAACUAUGUAAGAGAAUAAGACGAGAAAUUUACUUUAUAAUGUUUAAUGAAAAACAUCAGAUUAUAAAACCAUUUGUAAAAUAUUAUCCCUUUUUGUUUUAAUAGAUAACCAUUCUUCCCCAAAAUGUUUCCACUGGUUACCCCUUUGUAGUAUGAUUAUGGCUUGUUCAGUUUGGGACUUUUAUUUCUAUUUGAUUAGGCUUCUAUAAUAAAUUUUACUACAUAAUAAUAAAUGAGUACUUAAUAAUUCUUAAGUAAUUACUACAUAAUAAUUCUCCAAAAAGAAGAAAAUGGUAUAAAAAGCCUCCAAUAGCUCCACUUGCCUAAGGAUAAAUUCCAAAAUCCUUAGCAGGACAUUCAGGACCCCAAACACUGUAGCUCCAACCUGUCCUUCCAGCCUCAUCUCCUGCCACUGCCUGUUCUAGAACAUGCAGUAUAACCCCCAGAGCAAAGCCCUCACCCUCUCUCUCCACACGGUGCACAUCCUGCUGCCUCAGAGGUCAGCUGGUAUCAUCAGCCCAUGCAGGGCGCUCCUUUUCUGACAGAGAGAAAGAGCCGAGCCUUUGGGGUUGGGGAAGGUGUCAGUCACCCUGGCCCAUGCGGAGACCAGGAAAAAAGUAGAGCAGAGAGACUUCCUCCUAAAAGUGAAUUGAUUACUUCUCUGACCUUACUGGGUUCCAAAUUAAGUUUCUCUUAGUGUUUUCUCUUCAGUUGAUGUUGUCUCACAUGAGGCGAGAGAAUGAAUGAAUUUUUUCCCUUCUCUUUCUGGGCCUCCAGUUCAGCUGAGCCGUAAAACUUCGUCUCAGAUUUCUUGAACCCAUGAAAGAUGUUUGCAAAGUCUGAGACUGCCUUGCUUAGUAUUUGGCUGCCCUCAGAAUCCGUUCCAGAGACCAGACCCAGUCAGUGUGCCCAGGUGGGGCCUGGAGAAGGAGGACGGGGAAGGAACGGGCCAGCCUGCACCUUUAUCAUUUUCCUUGAUCCUGUGCCCCAGCUGAGGAACUCCCCAGCCUGUGCCGAGAAUACGUUCCUCGAGGACCACUUUUCAAACAGCCCUGUAGAGGGCGCGGUUUCCUCGUCCCAGAGGCUUCCAGGGUUCAGGCAGGCUCUGAAGGCUUUUCCAUCCGUCUGAUAAUCUCUUCGAAGCACUGAGGAAGCACCGUGGGGAGUAUCAAGAAGCACAGGAGGGCCUCCUCGGACUGUGAGAAACUCCGGGCAUAGUUCUAGGGAAGAAGACAAAGACAUGGACCUGUUGCAGUGGUUCCAAGACAUAUUCAAGUUCACGGCCAAGGCAGCCUGCAGAUUCUGGAUGCUUAGGAAUUCAGAAGAGGUCUGGACUGGUCCCAACAGUCUCUAAGGAAGGUGUCAAAGAGGUGAUGGCAUUGGGAGCAGACCUUAAUGGAUGAGAUGAUUUGGGGACUAACGCCAAGACAAGCAGAUGCAGAAGAUGGCAAGGUCUUGUUAAAGCCUCUUGUUUUUAAAUUAAAAUUAAAAUUCAACAUAUUUGAAUUGUUUACUUUUAAAUGGCUAAUUUUUAUUAUGUGACUUUUGCCUCAAUUAAAAACUACAUGAGAUAGCUAUAUAUGUGUGUGUGUAUAUAUAUUAAAUUUUCAAUUUAUUUAUUGUUGGAAUAGGUAAUAAGUCUCAUGGUUCACAAUCCAAAGGGAAAAAAGAGUGCAUAGUAAAAACUCUUCUUUCAAUCUUUCUUCCACCC
ensembl:lncRNA